ACCUUGCCCAUUUUUACUCCUUGACCAGAGUUGAAGUGGAUUUUCAACCAUUCAGCAUUGAGAGACUACGGUGGAACCAUUGGGAAUAACGGAUGAUGCUACACAAUUUCCAAAACACAAUCCAGCCCAGUCUGUUCCAACUAUUUAAUACUGAGUCCAGCUUAUUAUACAUCUGUAUUGCCUGUCUAAGUUUUUUAUGUACUGUUGGCUGCCCAUCCAACUACAUGUUACAGUCUAGACAAUAUGUAUUCUUCAUCCAUUUGGAUUUUCUCAUGCAAAUUUUUUAGACAAUAUGUGUUGAGUGUUAAUAUAUCUCAGUGAGGAAGCCUUAUAGUAUCUGGAUCUGAUACAAUCAGUAUAAUAUCAUCUGAAAAAAGGAAGAUCUGAAAGAUGCCACUAUCUUCAAUUACUCUGUAGAGAAGACAUUCCCUGUAACUGUGGCAAAAACUUCUGGCAAACAAAUAUCUUCCCAUUUCAAGCCUCACUUGAUACUGAGAAUCAGAAAGUUGCUGAACAAAACUAUCUCUUUACUAGCAUCUAUCAAGGAAUAUUAAAUAAACUUAAUGUAUACAUGGGGGACAUCUGGUUGGAAAGGGGCAUUUGAACCUGUUUUGCUCUACUGAAUCAAGUGGGAUUUUUUGUUAUUAUUAAGUAAAAACUAACAACAAAUAGCAGAAUUUUGUAUUAAUAAUAGCCAGUUUCUAAAAUAGUUUGAAUGCUUGACAGUUCAGCUCUAGAGAAGACUUCAUUGCCUGGUACCUUAUCUUGCCAGGUGUUCUUCAGAAUCUUCCUUUUUGUGGUAGCAAAGAAUUAGAAACUGAAGAGUUAUCCAUCAAUUUGGGAAAUGGCUAAAUGAGCUGUGGUAGAUGAUUGUAAAGGAAUACUAUUACACCAUAAGAAAUUAUGAACAAGAUAAUCACACACACACACACACACACACAAACCCAGGAUGUGAAGUGAUACAAAGUGAAAUGAGUAGAAAUAUUAUAUAUAGUAACAGCAAUAAUGAAUGAUGAUCAACUAUUAAUGACUUAAGUACUAUCAGCAACUCAAGGAUCCAAGAUCAUUCCAAGCAAUUCAUGAUUAAAAAGGUUAGCCAUUGCCAUAGAAGGGACUGAUGGAAUCUGAAUGCAAAUUGAAGCAUUUGUUUUUUCCCUUUUUUUACUUCACAAGUUUUUUUUCCCCUCAUAAAGGUAAUAUGUGUCUUUCACAACAUAAUGAAAAUGGAAAUAUGCACGACAUGAUAGCACACAUAAACUCUAUCAUAUUGCACAUCACUUCAGGGAAAGUGGAGGGGCGAGGGAGAGAGAGAAGAUGGAUGAAAAUAUCAAAAAGCGAUUAUCAAAAGUUGUAUCUACAUAUAAUUGGGGGAAAAUUAACAAAAAUAAAAUAAAGGGUUUUUGAAAACCAGAGGAUAUUAUAUUUGAUCCAGAGAGAUAGAGAGAGGGGAGGAGAGAAGAGAUAAGGCUGUGUGUUAUGUCUUGUUAGAGGGUGUGAGAUAAAGGUCACAGUUACCUCCUAGAAUUCUUUAGCUAGCACAACAAUUACUAUUUUGCAUAAAACAGAAAGGCUGAUGGGAUGAGGUUAAAUAUUUUGUUUACUGCAGUAUCUGUCAAUCUCUCUUCUGUUCUGAGGAAAUGAAGCCCUAGGAAGAUUUAAUUCAAUCAGGGAUGCAAGAUUUAAUAACUAAAAUGGAUAAGUUAGAUAACAAUUAAGCUAAGAGACCAAGGGUAGACAUCAGAAAGCAAAGUAUUGGAGUUCUGAGUAGAAUUUAGAAGAGAAACAUUUAACAGAAGAGUUCAUAGGGGAGAGUACACUUCAGCAUAGGCCUCUUGUACCUUCUGGUACAUCCUAGUUGAGAAGAGAAAGUUUCAUAGUCUGAGAAUUGCUACUUGGGGGAUAAAGAUACUGGCCAUGCUGCUGGCACUCAGACAAGAUCAGCAUCAUUGUUCCCUGCCUCUCUUUGCAUCUGUGUCAUUCAUCUCUACCUCCUUAGUCACAUAAUCAAUAGUAAAAGUCUCUGAAACUCUCUACUGCCCACACUGUAGCUUGUCUAGAUUCUGUUCCUUAGCUUUCUAGACUACUCCUUCCUGGAAUACUAAUUUAAGAGGUGCAUAAACUUCAACUCCCAUCAUACAUUCUUCAUGUUCUAGAUACUCUAGGACUAUAGUCCUAUUAUUUCUGGAAAGGGUUUGUCAAUUAAUUGCUCUAUGGAUCAAAUCAACAUUUCUGGUCCUUCCCAGAACAAAAAUCCCUUCCUAAGCCACCUUUUUAUGUUGUCAUUUCCUAUUAGAAUACAAGCUCCUUGCAGGCAGGGGCCAUCUUAGACACAAAAUCUGGCACACAGCAAGAACUCAAUAAAUGCUUUUUCAUUUAUUAAUUUUAUAAAUUAUAGAAUCAUAGACUUACACCUACAAGGAAUCAUAGAGGCCAUCUGUUCUAUGUCUUUCAUUUUACAAAUGAGGAAACUGAGGCCAAGAGCAGUUAAGUAAUUUGUUCAAGGUUAUAUAAUUAUUAAGUUGUAGGAUCAGGUUUCCCUAACUCUAAAUCCAGUCCUGUCUCUACUAUUACAUCUUGCUUUAUAAUAAGCUCUUACUUCAAACCUCAAAUUGCUACAAAUAGCUUCAUUUAUAGGCACCCAGUGGCAGAGGAAGUUAAUAAAACAUAGAAAAAUGUAGCUUUAAAGCAAUAAAAGACACAGCCAUUAAUUGUAUUUUUAUGUCAAACUGAUUUAAAAGUUUCUGAUGUGAAAAUAAAUUAUCUGUGAGUUACUACCAACUACCGACUAAAGGUAUUCUCUAGCAAA